UUUUUUGAAGUUGUAUUGAAAAGAAAAAAAGAUAGUACAAAAUAGGACCACCUGGGGGGUUUUGUACAUCAAAAAUGGCUGCCCUUGGGGGACAGAGCUAUAUACAAAAUCCCUAGAGACGGUAAUUAAAGGAAGGAGAAAGAGGGGAAGGGAGCGGGAACCCUUAGAAGGGACUCUGACUGAGUAUGCAAAAAAUGCUUAGCCUAUGGCUUGUGGUGUGCCCUCUUUAGCAGAAGUUUGCUUCUAUGUUACUCUCGCAGUAUAUUUGUCUCCAAGUAAUCAUAAGUUCAUAAGUCCUCUUCUUACAUGGGAUAAAUGUGGAGCAGGGGCCAUUGGCAGUUAGCCGAACCAGAGGCCCAUGAAAUAACAUUGUGGGAGUCCCUUGCUAUGGUGAGAGCUUGGCCCCAAGAGUUGUCAAAUACUUUGAGGCCCCCAAGAAAUAUGAUCUAGCAUCUGCUGAUUGGAAAUUGGAGUGACCUAUGGACUUCGAGAAAGAGGUCAAAGUGGAGCCUUUGUGGUCUCUAAAAAGACCUAUACUUGAUGGCCCUGGGUUGCCUAUGGAACAACCAUCAAGGUUGAGCUUUACGCGGCCCAACUCUGGAGGAAGCCACAAGGAGGCUCGUGAGUUACUCGUGUGGUGGUAAGAAAAGGAGAUUGUACCAGUGUAGGUGGGAGAUAGAAAUUCUUUUAAUCAUCUUCAGGUUAUAUUGGUGUAGAUACAAAUUCUCCUAUGGUAAGUUCAAUUCCUUAGUGGGAUGUUUAUUUCAUACUCUUAUUAUAAUUGAAACAUAGAGGGUGAUUUAGUGCGUGCUUUUGAUCUGGUUGCAUUUUCUGGAUGGAAUAGCACUUUGAUUUGAUGUGCAUGCGUGGCGUUUCAGAAUGCUAGAUUCCUUGGAUUGGAUCCAUCGGUCUCUAAUCGAGUUAAGAACCGGACAUGGGCUGUGAAGUCCGAUCACAUAAUUGAUGUCAUUCAGCAAUUAAGUUUACUGCUCACUAAGGUGAAAUAAUUGACCUCAUCACUUCCCUUGGUAAAAGUUCUACCCAUAAACUUGCCAUAGCUCCAGAAUUGGUGCCCUCGCAAUGGCACUGAUUCCCCUUUUCUUGAUGGAACAUAUGGCAAGGGAUUGACUUCUACACUCUGACUGUAACAUAUGGCAAGGGAUUGACGAAACAUAUGGCAAGGGAAUACUUACAUUUGGGCAUCAUAAAUAAUUUUGUGUGGACUCCUGAAGUGGCAGUCCAAUUCAUCCCAUGAUGGAUUCUGCUUUAUCUAAGUUAAAGCUUUUGUGGUCCUCUGAUUUUCACAGUUGCAUUUCUAUAUGCAUACGGAUGUUCCAACGGGUGCCAUGGUUAUGUGGCCACAACAGUCUGUAUUUGCAGGCUGGUGGCCUUACGUAAGCUUCCAAAAUAAUCAUCAAUAU